rnacentral:rRNA from 1 species
UAAGUCCCGCAACGAGCGCAACCCUCAUCUUUAGUUGCCAGCAGUUCGGCUGGGCACUCUAGAGAAACUGCCUGGGAUGACCAGGAGGAAGGCGAGGAUGACGUCAAGUCCUCAUGGCCCUUAUGGGCUGGGCUACACACGUGCUACAAUGGCGGUUACAAUGGGAAGCAAUAGGGUGACCUGGAGCUAAUCCCCAAAGGCCGUCUCAGUUCGGAUUGUUCUCUGCAACUCGAGAACAUGAAGUCGGAAUCGCUAGUAAUCGUGGAUCAGCACGCCACGGUGAAUACGUUCCCGGGCCUU